AGUGAACGCUGGCGGUAGGCCUAACACAUGCAAGCCGAACGGCAGCACAGUAAGAGCUUGCUCUUACGGGUGGCGAGUGGCGGACGGGUGAGGAAUACAUCGGAAUCUACUUUUUCGUGGGGGAUAACGUAGGGAAACUUACGCUAAUACCGCAUACGACCUACGGGUGAAAGCAGGGGAUCUUCGGACCUUGCGCGAUUGAAUGAGCCGAUGUCGGAUUAGCUAGUUGGCGGGGUAAAGGCCCACCAAGGCGACGAUCCGUAGCUGGUCUGAGAGGAUGAUCAGCCACACUGGAACUGAGACACGGUCCAGACUCCUACGGGAGGCAGCAGUGGGGAAUAUUGGACAAUGGGCGCAGGCCUGAUCCAGCCAUACCGCGUGGGUGAAGAAGGCCUUCGGGUUGUAAAGCCCUUUUGUUGGGAAAGAAAAGCAGCAGGUUAAUACCCCGCUGUUCUGACGGUACCCAAAGAAUAAGCACCGGCUAACUUCGUG
rnacentral:rRNA from 1 species